rnacentral:rRNA from 1 species
CGCGUAGGCGGUAUGCCAAGUCAGAUGUGAAAGCCCCGGGCUUAACCUGGGAACUGCAUCUGAAACUGGCAUGCUUGAGUUCUGGAUGGGGUAGUGGAAUUCCCAGUGUAGCGGUGAAAUGCGUAGAUAUUGGGAGGAACACCUGCGGCGAAGGCGGCUACCUGGACAGAUACUGACGCUGAGGCGCGAAAGCCAGGGGAGCGAACGG